rnacentral:rRNA from 1 species
GCCGCGAAUUCGCCCUUAGGGUUUGAUUAUGGCUCAGGAUGAACGCUAGCGGCAGGCCUAAUACAUGCAAGUCGAACGGGAUCCAUUUGUUAGCUUGCUAACAGAUGGUGAGAGUGGCGCACGGGUGCGUAACGCGUGAGCAACCUACCCAUAUCAGGGGGAUAGCCCGAAGAAAUUCGGAUUAACACCGCAUAAGACUACGAGAUGGCAUCAUCAAGUAGUUAAAUAUUUAUAGAAUAUGGAUGGGCUCGCGUGACAUUAGCUAGUUGGUGAGGUAACGGCUCACCAAGGCGACGAUGUCUAGGGGCUCUGAGAGGAGAAUCCCCCACACUGGUACUGAGACACGGACCAGACUCCUACGGGAGGCAGCAGUAAGGAAUAUUGGUCAAUGGACGGAAGUCUGAACCAGCCAUGCCGCGUGCAGGAUGACUGCCCUAUGGGUUGUAAACUGCUUUUGUCGAGGAACAAACCUAUCUACGUGUAGAUAGCUGAAUGUACUCGAAGAAUAAGGAUCGGCUAACUCCGUGCCAGCAGCCGCGGUAAUACGGAGGAUCCGAGCGUUAUCCGGAUUUAUUGGGUUUAAAGGGUGCGUAGGCGGCACUUUAAGUCAGGGGUGAAAGACGGCAGCUUAACUGUCGCAGUGCCUUUGAUACUGAAGUGCUUGAAUGC